rnacentral:rRNA from 1 species
UGGGGAAAGGUUUACUGCCGAAGGAUCGGCCCGCGUCUGAUUAACUUGUUGGUGGGGUAACGGCCUACCAAGGCGACGAUCAGUAGCUGGUCUGAGAGGAUGAUCAGCCACACUGGGACUGAGACACGGCCCAGACUCCUACGGGAGGCAGCAGUGGGGAAUAUUGGACGAUGGGCGCAAGCCUGAUCCAGCCAUGCCGCGUGAGUGAAGAAGGCCUUAGGGUUGUAAAGCUCUUUUGUCCGGGACGAUAAUGAC